rnacentral:rRNA from 1 species
GUCGUGACUGCGUGCCUUUUGAAGAAUGAGCCUGCGAGUUUGCGGUAUGUUGCGAGGUUAACCCGUGUGGGGAAGCCGUAGCGAAAGCGAGUCCGAAGAGGGCGAUAUAGUAGCGUGCCCAAGACCCGAAGCGGAGUGAUCUAGCCAUGGGCAGGUUGAAGCGGAGGUAAGACUUCGUGGAGGACCGAACCCACCAGGGUUGAAAACCUGGGGGAUGACCUGUGGUUAGGGGUGAAAGGCCAAUCAAACUCCGUGAUAGCUGGUUCUCCCCGAAAUGCAUUUAGGUGCAGCGUCGUGUGUUUCUUGCCGGAGGUAGAGCACUGGAUAGGCGAUGGGCCCUACCGGGUUACUGACCUUAGCCAAACUCCGAAUGCCGGUAAGUGAGAGCGCGGCAGUGAGACUGUGGGGGAUAAGCUCCAUGGUCGAGAGGGAAACAGCCCAGAGCAUCGACUAAGGCCCCUAAGCGUGUGCUAAGUGGGAAAGGAUGUGGAGUCGCAGAGACAACCAGGAGGUUGGCUUAGAAGCAGCCAUCCUUGAAAGAGUGCGUAAUAGCUCACUGGUCAAGUGAUUCCGCGCCGACAAUGUAGCGGGGCUCAAGCACACCGCCGAAGUCAUGUCAUUGCAGUAUGUACUCCUAACGGGGACUGUGAUGGGUAGGGGAGCGUCGUGUGCCGGGUGAAGCAGCGCCGGAAGGUAGUUGUGGACGGUUCACGAGUGAGAAUGCAGGCAUGAGUAGCGAUACACACGUGGGAAACGUGUGCGCCGAUUGACUAAGGGUUCCUGGGUCAAGCUGAUCUGCCCAGGGUAAGUCGGGACCUAAGGCGAGGCCGACAGGCGUAGUCGAUGGACAACCGGUUGAUAUUCCGGUACCCGCUUUGAAGCGCCAAACAUCGAAUCCUCUGAUGCUAAGGCCGUGAAGCCGCCCUGGAGUCUUCGGACAAAGGGGAGUGGUGGAGCCGCUGAUCCAAGGUGGUAGUAGGUGAGUGAUGGGGUGACGCAGGAAGGUAGUCCAGCCCGGGCGGUGGUUGUCCCGGGGUAAGGGUGUAGGACGCACGGUAGGCAAAUCCGUCGUGCAUGAAGUCUGAGACCUGAUGCCGAGCCGAUUGUGGUGAAGUGGAUGAUCCUAUGCUGUCGAGAAAAGCCUCUAGCGAGUUUCAUGGCGGCCCGUACCCUAAACCGACUCAGGUGGUCAGGUAGAGAAUACCGAGGCGUUCGGGUGAACUAUGGUUAAGGAACUCGGCAAAAUGCCCCCGUAACUUCGGGAGAAGGGGGGCCACGGCUGGUGAUCACCCUUGCGGUGUGAGCUGGUGGUGGCCGCAGAGACCAGCGAGAAGCGACUGUUUACUAAAAACACAGGUCCGUGCGAAGCCGUAAGGCGAUGUAUACGGACUGACGCCUGCCCGGUGCUGGAACGUUAAGGGGACCGGUUAGCUCCAUUUCGGUGGGGCGAAGCUGAGAACUUAAGCGCCAGUAAACGGCGGUGGUAACUAUAACCAUCCUAAGGUAGCGAAAUUCCUUGUCGGGUAAGUUCCGACCUGCACGAAUGGCGUAACGACUUCUCGACUGUCUCAACCAUAGGCCCGGUGAAAUUGCACUACGAGUAAAGAUGCUCGUUUCGCGCAGCAGGACGGAAAGACCCCGGGACCUUUACUAUAGCUUGAUAUUGGUGUUUGGUUCGGCUUGUGUAGGAUAGGUGGGAGACUGUGAAGCCGUGACGCCAGUCAUGGUGGAGUCGUUGUUGAAAUACCACUCUGGUCGUGCUGGAUGUCUAACCUGGGUCCGUGAUCCGGAUCAGGGACAGUGUCUGGUGGGUAGUUUAACUGGGGCGGUUGCCUCCUAAAGGGUAACGGAGGCGCCCAAAGGUUCCCUCAGCCUGGUUGGCAAUCAGGUGUUGAGUGUAAGUGCACAAGGGAGCUUGACUGUGAGACUGACGGGUCGAGCAGGUACGAAAGUAGGGACUAGUGAUCCGGCGGUGGCUUGUGGAAGCGCCGUCGCUCAACGGAUAAAAGGUACCCCGGGGAUAACAGGCUGAUCUUCCCCAAGAGUCCAUAUCGACGGGAUGGUUUGGCACCUCGAUGUCGGCUCGUCGCAUCCUGGGGCUGGAGUCGGUCCCAAGGGUUGGGCUGUUCGCCCAUUAAAGCGGUACGCGAGCUGGGUUUAGAACGUCGUGAGACAGUUCGGUCCCUAUCCGCUGUGCGCGUAGGAGUCUUGAGAAGGGCUGUCCCUAGUACGAGAGGACCGGGACGGACGAACCUCUGGUGUGCCAGUUGUUCUGCCAAGGGCAUGGCUGGUUGGCUACGUUCGGAAAGGAUAACCGCUGAAAGCAUCUAAGCGGGAAGCCUGCUUUAGACGACUGGGUUGAUAGGCCAGAUAUGGAAGCACCGUAAGGUGUGGAGUUGACUGGUACUAAUAGGCCGAGGGCUUGUCCUCAGUUG